rnacentral:rRNA from 1 species
GACGAACGCUGGCGGCGUGCUUAACACAUGCAAGUCGAACGGAAAGGCCCUGCGUUUGUGGGGUGCUCGAGUGGCGAACGGGUGAGUAACACGUGAGUAACCUGCCCAUGACAUUGGGAUAACUUCAGGAAACUGGGGUUAAUACAGGAUAGGAGCUACUGCUGCAUGGUGGGGGUUGGAAAGUUUCGGCGGUUGGGGAUGGACUGGCGGCUUAUCAGAUUGUUGGUGGGGUAGUGGCUUACCAAGGCGUUGACGGGUAGCCGGCCUGAGAGGGUGACCGGCCACAUUGGGACUGAGAUACGGCCGAGACUCCUACGGUCGGCAGCAGUGAGGAAUAUUGCACAAUGGGCGGAAGCCUGAUGCAGCAACGCCGCGUGCGGGAUGACGGCCUUCGGGUUGUAAACCGCUUUCGCCUGUGACGAAGCGUGAGUGACGGUAAUGGGUAGAGAAGCACCGGCUAACUACGUG